rnacentral:lncRNA from 1 species
CUGCGAUACUUUUAGUGCCAAUAAUGAGAUCUGGGGACUUUCAGAAACAACAAUUACGGUGUAUCAUUUCUGCUGCCCCCACGGCAAAGCCUUUAGGCAUUGAAACAGUUUUGAGAAAUGAAUAUAUACUAUUGCUAAUGUUGGCUUUCAUUUAUCUAGUGAACCUUUUUCUUAUUUGCUGUUUUACUGAGUUUCUGUUGUUCAGCCAACACAAGCCUCUUUUUUUUUUUUUUUUUUACAGAGAAGAGAGAGGAAAAUACACGACUUGGAAACCUCAUUUGGUGCUUGAUGUUCCUGAUGAAAUCUGAAAGGGAUGUUCUAAUGGAUGCUUAAAUACUUGAGGAAAAAGCCACACUGAAAAGAAUAU